GCAGCAGCCACAGCGCCACCUUACAGCUCAUCCUGGAACAGACAGAGAGAGAAACAUCAGAAUCCACAUCCCGUGUCUGAUGGGAAAUCAUGAGAUGAGCUCCUGACCCCUCAUCAUUACACACACCUAUCGCAGUGUAUGAGGCUCUACAUAAACCACAGCCCAGUGCCACAGCGUCGAAAAGCAUCUUUACACGGAUCUGAUGCUCGUGAAGCUCCAGACUGACAGCAGAGUAAUGCAGGAGCUCUUGACCUUGACACGAACAACAGCCAGAGCCCACCGUAAGCAGAUAAAACCAGAAAAACCUCUUAAACACUGCUAAUUCUUUGAAGAGAUGGAACAAGUAUGACUCCACUGACUCUUACAACGCCGUCCACUGCUGACACAAUGCCGGCUCGAGCGCUCACCGACCCGCAGAAACGGCCCUAAUCGGAUCAAACACUCCAGCGCAGACCUGGCAACCUCAUCACAACCUCAUCAUUCCCAACCCGAGCGGAGCCUCACCUGGACGAGUGUGU